UAGCUCUUCCGCCUCACACCCAUGUUGGAAUAGUGAUCAGUGUUGACAUCCGAAGAAAAGUUACGACGCUGCUGUGUAUGAAAAAGGCGUAUGUUAGGACACAAGUUGAUCCACAUCGCUGAAAAGAAAUUAUUCUGUAGUCAUGGGUCGCAAGCUGAACCUGGCACCACUUAAACAAGAUGAAUGUGAGACUAUUCUUGCGGUCAUACAAAAGGAUUUCGACCUGAGAGAGAGAGAUAAAAAGCGAUUGAGUCAGAUGGAAUUGAGUUUGAAGCAGAAAAUCCAAGAAGCAUGCAUACUUGGUAAGAAGGGACAUUUCAAGGAGAGCCACUGCAUCCAUUGCUGUUCAACAUUCUCAUUUUUUUUCUGGAGAAAAAAACUGUGCAUCCAGUGCAGUUACUAUGUGUGCAAAGAGUGUUCCACGUGGGACAAGCUUGACCAGGCAUGGGUGUGCAAUGUCUGCGAACGGCAGCGGGACCUGACGUUAGCAUGCUGUGAUUGGUUCCACAUCAACUUUAAACACCGCUUCAGACAAUUUGGCAGUGCCAAGGUCGCAUCCCAGCUGCAAAAUCAGAGCAUAUGCAGUGAUGGU